AUAUUUUGAUCGGACGGCCAGAAUUGACUGUUAAGCAAAAUAAUAAUGACGUCUGCACUAUGGUAAAUGGAAAUGUUCUUUCUUUCUCUCAUCUAUUUUCCUCGACUUUUCGUUUCUUUUUUUUUUUAUUAUUAUCCCUCAAAAUAACAAAUUUUCACAUUUUAAUUGUAUUUUUAAAAAUAUAUAUAAGGUAUUUGCAAAUCUUCACUCUCUUAUAUUGGGAUCUUGAAACUCAAAUUUCUGGACUGAACUUCACUCUCUUUCUCUUCUCGGCUAGGUUUUUUCUUUUUCCCUCUCAUUUUUUUUUUCAUCAGCUAAAUAACCAUUUUUGAUCUUUCUUUCUCUUUCUUUACCUAAUACAACGAAGUUUUGAUCUCCAUAUAUAUGAACUCUCGCUCGGCGUUUUCUCUUUUUAUAUGGACUUUGAUGAAAUCGAUGAGAAAGGAAUAAGCGGAAUCAUUCAUCAUCGGAGUAGAUAUUGAUCGGAAUCGAAAUCAAUUCAUUAUUAUACAAGUUUCUGAGUUUCCAAAAUAAAUAAAUAAAAAUGCAAUCGAAUUCUCCAUGCGCGGCGUGCAAGAUUCAAAGGAGAAAAUGUACUCAAGAAUGCGUCUUCGCACCGUAUUUCCCACCGGACCAACCCCAGAAAUUCGUGAAUGUUCACAAAGUAUUUGGUGCUAGUAAUGUUUCGAAACUACUCCAAGAACUCAGCGCCGACAGCCGUGAAGACGCAGUCAACUCUCUCGCCUACGAAGCCGAUGCGCGUCUUAGAGACCCGGUUUAUGGCUGUGUGGGUCUAAUCUCAGUUCUUCAACAAAGACUCAAACAAGUCCACAUUGAUCUAAUCACCGCUAAACAAGAGCUUGCUGCUUAUUUGGGUCCCCAAAAUGCGGUUCCCUUUUACCCAAACCCAUAUAUGCCGCAGCAAGGGAACCCCUCUUCUUCUUCUUCGGUUUACAAUAAUCCGUAUAGCUCUAUUAUGGGUGCUCCUGGUGGGAGUACAAGUCAUCAAUUGGUCAUCCGUGAACCUUCUCAGGUUCAAGCUCAACAUGUUGAUGCCCACCAACAGAUUCAGCAACAGGUUCAAGCGCAGGUUCAGGCUCAGAGGCAGACUCCAUCGCCUCAUUUCUUUGACGCUCAUCAACUGGCAAGGGAACACCAACAAGAUAUGUUAAUGAGGCUUACUGUGGAACAGAAAAUGGCUUUGAUGCAGCAGCAGCAACAACAGCAGCAACAACGACAGCUGAGUCAGUAUCAACAACGUCCCGUUCAACAAAAUCUCGCGAGGUUUACCACUGCUCAUGACCCUGGUACGGGUCCAGAUGAUGAGACAGCUGAGUUCAAUGAGAUUGGUAGCAACACAAGUACAGCAGUGGGGCCUGGUUUAGUUCUUGGAAGUGGGUAUCAACAUCCUUAUGAUCUUGUUCAACAAGAUCAGCAGCAGCAAUCGGAACAUGGUCAAAAUCCUCUUCAACAACUACAACGUGAGGAAGAUCAACUUUUGUUUAAUAAUAACCCCGAGUCGCCGGUUCUGCAAUUGGGUCCGCAAACUCAGCUGUGGCACAAGUUUGAUGACGAAGAGGAUAGGAGGAAUAAUAUUAAUGGUCCGACUAGUUGAGCAUAUGCCAUCAUCACCUCACCUCCCGCUCUUUUGUUCAUCUCACUUCAUCAUUCAAAUAUUUUUUUUUCAACAUAGUUUAUUUUUGCCACACACAAAAAGAGAGGGAGGGAGUGAGGGAGAGAGAGAGAGAGAGAGAUCUAGAGAGAGACGUAAAAAAGGUGGAGAGAAUACGUAUAAGAUUGGAAAAGAUACAUAUCUGAAUGAAGUGGCAUUGAUUUUUGGGUUAUGAGGAGGAGACUUUCAUGAAAAUAUCAUUUUAAAAAGAGUUAUUAGGAUCCACAUUGAUCUUUGAGUACAGUCAAUUUCUUCUUUUUUGUUUAAACUAAGUCUUUAAAGUCAUCAUAGGUUCAUUUAAUUGUUACGUAUUUGUAUAUAAUAAUGUCUGGAUUUUACCCCCUUUUUAGAUCUCUUUAAUUAGCUACUGUAGUAAAGAGUUAAACCAAUAUUGUUGAUACUAGUUACUAUACUUGUUUGUGGCACUAAAGUUUUGAAUUUGAUUACCCUUUAAGGCUAAA